UGGUAAUGCCGGAUGCUCCAGUUGAUCGCAUGGUCUUCUGGGAAAGCCUUUGCGGCAUGGGAUGGGGUCGCGUCCUAUCAGCUUGAUGGCGGGGUAACGGCCCACCAUGGCUUCGACGGGUAGCCGGCCUGAGAGGGCGACCGGCCACAUUGGGACUGAGAUACGGCCCAGACUCCUACGGGAGGCAGCAGUGGGGAAUAUUGCACAAUGGGCGCAAGCCUGAUGCAGCGACGCCGCGUGAGGGAUGGAGGCCUUCGGGUUGUAAACCUCUUUUGUUAGGGAGCAAGGCAUUUUGUGUUGAGUGUACCUUUCGAAUAAGCACCGGCUAACUACGUGCCAGCAGCCGCGGUAAUACGUAGGGUGCAAGCGUUAUCCGGAAUUAUUGGGCGUAAAGGGCUCGUAGGCGGUUCGUCGCGUCCGGUGUGAAAGUCCAUCGCUUAACGGUGGAUCCGCGCCGGGUACGGGCGGGCUUGAGUGCGGUAGGGGAGACUGGAAUUCCCGGUGUAACGGUGGAAUGUGUAGAUAUC
rnacentral:rRNA from 1 species